AAAGUCGUAACAAGGUUUCCGUAGGUGAACCUGCGGAAGGAUCAUUACGAUGAGGCAGCCCGGGCAAAACCGCCCGGGCCCGCUUUUCAACACCCUGUGUUUACCACUCCAGGUUGCUUCGGCGGGCCGCCGGGCCUCUCUGCGCCCGCCACCGGUCCCAGAUCGGUGAGCGCCCGCCCGAGGACCGCACGAAUCCUGCGUACCGGCAGUCCGAGUCAGACACUACGAAAAUGAAGCAAAACUUUCAACAACGGAUCUCUUGGUUCCG
rnacentral:misc_RNA from 1 species